UGUGAAGGAAAGGUGAAAAGGACCCCGGGAGGGGAGUGAAAGAGAACCUGAAACCCUGUGUCUACAAGCUGUGGAAGCACUUUAUAUGUGCGACCGCGUACUUUUUGUAGAACGGUCCGGCGAGUUACGCUUACUGGCAAGGUUAAGCACUUCAGGUGUGGAGCCGUAGGGAAACCAAGUCUUAAGAGGGCCUUAAGUCAGUAGGAGUAGACCCGAAACCGGGUGAUCUAUCCAUGUCCAGGUUGAAGCUGCCGUAAGAGGUAGUGGAGGACCGAACCCACAUCCGUUGAAAAGGGUGGGGAUGAGGUGUGGAUAGGGGAGAAAUUCCAAUCGAACCCGGAGAUAGCUGGUUCUCCUCGAAAUAGCUUUAGGGCUAGCCUCGAUACAGAUUUGCGGAGGUAGAGCACUGAAUUUCCUAGGGGGCGUCAAAGCCUACCGAAGAAUAUCAAACUCCGAAUGCCGCGUAAUCGAUUAUCGGGAGUCAGACUGCACGAGAUAAGUUGGGCGGUCAAAAGGGAAAGAGCCCAGACCUUCAGUUAAGGUCCCCAAGUGCGCGUUAAGUGGAAAAGGAUGUGGGAUUUCGAAGACAACCAGGAUGUUGGCUCAGAAGCAGCCAUCCAUUCAAAGAGUGCGUAAUAGCUCACUGGUCGAGAGGUCCUGCGCCGAAAAUGUCCGGGGCUGAAACGCGCCACCGAAACUAAGGAACCGAAAGGUUGGUAGAGGAGCAUUGCAUGCGGGAAGAAGCAGUACCGUAAGGAGCUGUGGACUGCAUGGAAGAGAGAAUGCCGGAAUGAGUAGCGAGAAUAAGGUGAGAAUCCUUAUGGCCGAAUAUCCAAGGUUUCCAGAGUAAAGCUGAUCUGCUCUGGGUAAGUCGGGGCCUAAGGCGAGGACGAGAGUCGUAGCCGAUGGACAACAGGUGGAGAUUCCUGUACUGCGGUAUGACAGAACUGUGGGGACACGUAAGGAAAGCGGAAGCCGGGAAUGGAAAGCCCGGUGCAAGCGGGGUACCAGUCACUUUGGCAAAUCCGGGUGGCAAUGGGAAGCCGUGAUGCGGAGUGAAAUAAAGUAACGAAGUCCGUGAGCCAUGCGUCAAGAAAAGCCGCUAUUGUUUAUACCGUACCCGUACCGUAAACCGACACAGGUGGAUGAGGAGAGAAUCCUAAGGCCGGCGGAAGAAGCAUUGUCAAGGAACUCGGCAAAAUGGCCCCGUAACUUAGGGAUAAGGGGUGCCUGGGAAACCAGGCCGCAGAGAAUAGGCUCAAGCAACUGUUUAGCAAAAACACAGGUCUAUGCGAAACCGAAAGGUGAGGUAUAUGGGCUGACGCCUGCCCGGUGCUGGAAGGUUAAGAGGAGAGGUUAGCGGUAACGCGAAGCUUUGAAUUUAAGCCCCAGUAAACGGCGGCCGUAACUAUAACGGUCCUAAGGUAGCGAAAUUCCUUGUCGGGUAAGUUCCGACCCGCACGAA
rnacentral:rRNA from 1 species